UGAGACAAGCUACCUGCCCUUACGGGAGGAGCAGGCUCUAAACUUUUACACUGCACGACAGUGCGAUAGGGGGAUUCCGAGAGAGAGGGCAUAUAGCCCUUGCUUUUCUGUACAGUAAGGUGGUACAGGAACAAGGACUGGGCAAGACCCGUGCCCAGCCGCCGCGGUAAGACCGGCAGUUCAAGUGAUGGCCGAUAUUAUUGGGCCUAAAGCGUCCGUAGCAUGCUGGGCAAGUCCAUCGAGAAAUCGACCAGCUCAACGCGUCGGCGUCCAGCGGAAACUAUACAGCUUGGGGCCGAAAGACUCGAGGGGUACGUCCGGGGUAGGAGUGAAAUCCUGUAAUCCUGGACGGACCACCAAUGGGGAAACCACGUCAAGAGGACGGACCCGACGGUGAGGGACGAAAGCCAGGGUCUCGAACCGGAUUAGAUACCCGGGUAGUCCUAGCUGUAAACAAUGCUCGCUAGGUAUGCCGUGGGCCACGAGCAUGUGAUGCGCCGUAGUGAAGACGAUAAGCGAGCCGCCUGGGAAGUACGUCCGCAAGGAUGAAACUUAAAGGAAUUGGCGGGGGAGCACCACAACCGGAGGAGCCUGCGGUUUAAUUGGACUCAACGCCGGACAUCUCACCGGUCCCGACAGUAGUAAUGACGGUCAGGUUGACGACUUUACCCGACGCUACUGAGAGGAGGUGCAUGGCCGCCGUCAGCUCGUACCGUGAGGCGUCCUGUUAAGUCAGGCAACGAGCGAGACCCGCACUUCUAGUUGCCAGCAACACCCUUGCGGUGGUUGGGUACACUAGGAGGACUGCCGUUGCUAAAGCGGAGGAAGGAACGGGCAACGGUAGGUCAGUAUGCCCCGAAUGGACCGGGCAACACGCGGGCUACAAUGGCUCUGACAGUGGGAUGCAACGCCGAGAGGCGAAGCUAAUCUCCAAACGGAGUCGUAGUUCGGAUUGCGGGCUGAAACCCGCCCGCAUGAAGCUGGAUUCGGUAGUAAUCGCGUGUCAGAAGCGCGCGGUGAAUACGUCCCUGCUCCUUGCACACACCGCCCGUCAAAGCACCCGAGUGGGGUCCGGAUGAGGCCGUCAUGCGACGGUCGA
rnacentral:rRNA from 1 species